ensembl:lncRNA
AUGAGGCCAAGCCCUCCGCGGGGAGCGUUUCGGCAGCAGAAGCUGGGCCCCCGGAGUAGGCUGCGGCGCGGUCAGGGAGCCCCCCGAAAUCCUCCGCAGUAUUUCCUUCCCCUGAAGAGGAAGCACAUGCAUUUACUACGGAAAAACAGAAGAGAACGAGGAAGAAAGCGGAACAUCACUCAAGGUCAACCCUGCAGGCAAGCAUGGCUGGGCUGUGUCCGUGUCGCCAGCUCUGGUCACUUCCCGUCCUCUGGACCAGUCGUUGUUCUGCUCAGCGCUGCCUUAUGGUUCCAGCAGAGGAAAGGGACGCGUGGUGCAGUGGUCCCCAGGCUCAGGGUCAAUUCCUGGGAGUCCCCUCUCUCCAGCCAGGUGAAACCGGGCUGCCCCCUCGUCACUCUGCUCAGGACCAGCUCUGCGGUGGACCUUGAGGGCAGAAGUCAGAGAAAGACAAACCCUGUGUGAUCUCACGUACUUGUGGGAUCUAAAAACAGAACAGAACAAAAAGCCAAGCUCAGAGAUACAGAGAACAGAGGGUGGUCAGGAGAAGCAGGCCGCUUCCUGCCCUCCUGCUUGGGAGCCACCAAAAGGUCUCUGUCCAAAGGGGGUUGGUCUGGUACUGCUGCCCUGGGCAGUCACUGUGACUGCUGGCCCGGUUAACCCAUGGCCUGGCUUGUCGUCGGCAGCUGGACAUCGCUUGUCCGUAAUCCAGCUUAAUCAGUACCAGUCGAAUGAAUAAGUGGAUUCAACUACAUUCAGGCAACAACUGUGAGCCAGGCAGUGUAUUAACUGCUUUCUAAAUUGGUAGUAAUUGGAAAAGGGGAGUCCCCUGGCGGCCUGGCAGUGAAGGAUCUGGCAUCAUCACUGCUGUGGCUCAGGUUUGAUGCCUGCCCUGAGAUUGCUGCAUGUGGUGGGUGUGGCCCAAAAUUUUUUGAAAAGGGAGAAUGAGAAUAAGCAUUUAUUUCAGUUGUGGACAGUCUCGCUUGUCAGACUCAGCUGGAAUUCGGACCUGACUGCCCGUCUCCAGGGUCCAUCCCUUCAUGACUAGGGAUGAGCCAGUGGGGGAGGGGAGGUGCUUCCGAGCCCGGCUGAGCCUCCCAAGUGACACAACACCCCUGUGGUUGCCUCUCGGGGUGCCCAGACAGAGGCUUCCUGCCCCAGAAGACAUCCUCGGUUGCAGAGUGCACCGCAGUCUUGGGCAAGCAGCCACUGCGCCACCGGCUGCCUCCAGGGCACAGGCUUGCGGGGGCACCAGCCCUGUGCAGGGUGUGGACUGGGCGGCACUCAGCUUUCCUACUGAGACACACAGGCCACACCCACCACGGGUGUCCCCGGACCCAGGGUCCGCUUGCAGCUUGUUAGAAUCAAAACUCAACAGAGACCAGCUCUGCUCUGAAAACUUCCUGAGCAGACAAAACCAGUUUAGCCAUACCAGCAAAGCUUAAUCGAGCUUGUUUCGUCAGAC